rnacentral:rRNA from 1 species
CCCUUUGUUGUCCGACUCUGUUGCCUCCGGGGCGACCCUGCCUUCGGGCGGGGGCUCCGGGUGGACACUUCAAACUCUUGCGUAACUUUGCAGUCUGAGUAAACUUAAUUAAUAAAUUAAAACUUUUAACAACGGAUCUCUUGGUUCUGGCAUCGAUGAAGAACGCAGCGAAAUGCGAUAAGUAAUGUGAAUUGCAGAAUUCAGUGAAUCAUCGAAUCUUUGAACGCACAUUGCGCCCCCUGGUAUUCCGGGGGGCAUGCCUGUUCGAGCGUCAUUUCACCACUCAAGCCUCGCUUGGUAUUGGGCAACGCGGUCCGCCGCGUGCCUCAAAUCGACCGGCUGGGUCUUCUGUCCCCUAAGCGUUGUGGAAACUAUUCGCUAAAGGGUGUUCGGGAGGCUACGCCGUAAAACAACCCCAUUUCUAAGGUUGACCUCGGAUCAGGUAGGGAUACCCGCUGAACUUAAGCAUAUCAAUAAGCGGAGGAAAAGAAACCAACAGGGAUUGCUCUAGUAACGGCGAGUGAAGCAGCAAUAGCUCAAAUUUGAAAUCUGGCGUCUUCGACGUCCGAGUUGUAAUUUGUAGAGGAUGCUUCUGAGUAACCACCGACCUAAGUUCCUUGGAACAGGACGUCAUAGAGGGUGAGAAUCCCGUAUGCGGUCGGAAAGGUGCUCUAUACGUAGCUCCUUCGACGAGUCGAGUUGUUUGGGAAUGCAGCUCUAAAUGGGAGGUAAAUUUCUUCUAAAGCUAAAUAUUGGCCAGAGACCGAUAGCGCACAAGUAGAGUGAUCGAAAGAUGAAAAGCACUUUGGAAAGAGAGUUAAAAAGCACGUGAAAUUGUUAAAAGGGAAGGGAUUGCAACCAGACUUGCUCGCGGUGUUCCGCCGGUCUUCUGACCGGUCUACUCGCCGCGUUGCAGGCCAGCAUCGUCUGGUGCCGCUGGAUAAGACUUGAGGAAUGUAGCUCCCUCGGGAGUGUUAUAGCCUCUUGUGAUGCAGCGAGCGCCGGGCGAGGUCCGCG